rnacentral:rRNA from 1 species
AUUGAACGCUGGCGGAAUGCUUUACACAUGCAAGUCGAACGGCAGCACGGGGGCAGCCCUGGUGGCGAGUGGCGAACGGGUGAGUAAUACAUCGGAACGUGCCCGGUCGUGGGGGAUAACGUAGCGAAAGUUACGCUAAUACCGCAUACGAUCUGAGGAUGAAAGCGGGGGACCUUCGGGCCUCGCGCGAUCGGAGCGGCCGAUGUCAGAUUAGGUAGUUGGUGGGGUAAAGGCCUACCAAGCCGACGAUCUGUAGCUGGUCUGAGAGGACGACCAGCCACACUGGGACUGAGACACGGCCCAGACUCCUACGGGAGGCAGCAGUGGGGAAUUUUGGACAAUGCGCGCAAGCCUGAUCCAGCCAUUCCGCGUGCAGGACGAAGGCCUUCGGGUUGUAAACUGCUUUUGUACGGAACGAAAAGGCUCUGGCUAAUACCUGGGGCUCAUGACGGUACCGUAAGAAUAAGCACCGGCUAACUACGUG